UGGAAAGUAAUUGCACUUAUGCCGAAAUGCCGAAUGCAUUUCCUCCAGUGUAUCCAUCCGCUGUCAGAAUAGUGGAAUUUUUGAUGGUUUUCCCGGCCGCUCUUCAAUUUUUUUCCGCAAAGUCACACACGCAUUGUUGGAUUGUGAGAAAAAUCCCGAACCACAGAAGGACCGAGAGAAGGACUAUCUAAAUUCAAACUGAAGCAGCAUUACCACUGGCAAAGUAGCCGUCCGUAAACUCGGUUUACUUGAAGAGGUAUACAAUCGCCAUCAUCGCUUAUCGGAGAAAUGGACACUCUUUGCGAAAAUUGGUUAUCGGAGUUGUGGGAGCCGAGGUGGAUGCCGUAUCUUAUGAUUAGGCUAAAGCCUGCAAACAAGAGAAUCUUACUGAUGGAGAUGCAGAUAAAGCUUAGGAGAUAUUUCUCAGCGGCGAAUAUAUACCUACAAACUAUCAAACUGAUGGAAGUGAUAAAAUAAAAAGA